rnacentral:rRNA from 1 species
UACGGGGGGGGCAAGCGUUGUUCGGAAUUACUGGGCGUAAAGGGCUCGUAGGCGGCCAACUAAGUCAGACGUGAAAUCCCUCGGCUUAACCGGGGAACUGCGUCUGAUACUGGAUGGCUCGAGAUUGGGAGAGGGAUGCGGAAUUCCAGGUGUAGCGGUGAAAUGCGUAGAUAUCUGGAGGAACACCGGUGGCGAAGGCGGGUCUCUGGACAGUUCCUGACGCUGAGGCACGAAGGCCAGGGGAGCAAACGGG